GACGAACGCUGGCGGCGUGCUUAACACAUGCAAGUCGAACGGAAAGGCCCUGCUUGCAGGGUACUCGAGUGGCGAACGGGUGAGUAACACGUGGGUGAUCUGCCCUGCACUUCGGGAUAAGCCUGGGAAACUGGGUCUAAUACCGGAUAGGAACCAUUUUUAGUGUGAUGGUUGGAAAGUUUUUUCGGUGUAGGAUGAGCUCGCGGCCUAUCAGCUUGUUGGUGGGGUAAUGGCCUACCAAGGCGGCGACGGGUAGCCGGCCUGAGAGGGUGGACGGCCACAUUGGGACUGAGAUACGGCCCAGACUCCUACGGGAGGCAGCAGUGGGGAAUAUUGCACAAUGGGCGCAAGCCUGAUGCAGCGACGCCGCGUGGGGGGUGACGGCCUUCGGGUUGUAAACUCCUUUCGCUAGGGACGAAGCUUUUUGUGACGGUACCUAGAUAAGAAGCACCGGCUAACUACGUG
rnacentral:rRNA from 1 species